rnacentral:rRNA from 1 species
AGUGAACGCUGGCGGUAGGCCUAACACAUGCAAGUCGAACGGCAGCACAGUAAGAGCUUGCUCUUACGGGUGGCGAGUGGCGGACGGGUGAGGAAUACAUCGGAAUCUACUUUUUCGUGGGGGAUAACGUAGGGAAACUUACGCUAAUACCGCAUACGACCUACGGGUGAAAGCAUGGGAUCUUCGGACCUUGCGCGAUUGAAUGAGCCGAUGUCGGAUUAGCUAGUUGGCGGGGUAAAGGCCCACCAAGGCGACGAUCCGUAGCUGGUCUGAGAGGAUGAUCAGCCACACUGGAACUGAGACACGGUCCAGACUCCUACGGGAGGCAGCAGUGGGGAAUAUUCGACAAUGGGCGCAAGCCUGAUCCAGCCAUACCGCGUGAGUGAAGAAGGCCUUCGGGUUGUAAAGCCCUUUUGUUGGGAAAGAAAAGCAGCAGGUUAAUACCCCGAUGUUCUGACGGUACCCAAAGAAUAAGCACCGGCUAACUUCGUG